AUCCUUUGGAAGUUCAUGAGCGUGAUGAUUGGGUCUUCACGCACUCGCCUGAGAUGUGCC
rnacentral:ncRNA from 1 species